AGUGAACGCUGGCGGUAGGCCUAACACAUGCAAGUCGAACGGCAGCACAGUAAGAGCUUGCUCUUACUGGUGGCGAGUUGCGGACGGGUUAGGAAUACAUCGGAAUCUACUUUUUCGUUGGGGAUAACGUAGGGAAACUUACGCUACUACCGCAUACGACCUACGGGUGAAAGCAGGGGAUCUUCGGACCUUGCGCGAUUGAAUGAGCCGAUGUCGGAUUAGCUAGUUGGCGGGGUAAAGGCCCACCAAGGCGACGAUCCGUAGCUGGUCUGAGAGGAUGAUCAGCCACACUGGAACUGAGACACGGCCCAGACUCCUACGGGAGGCAGCAGUGGGGAAUAUUGGACAAUGGGCGCAAGCCUGAUCCAGCAAUACCGCGUGGGUGAAGAAGGCCUUCGGGUUGUAAAGCCCUUUUGUAGGGAAAGAAAAGCAGCAGGUUAAUACCCCGCUGUUAUGACGGUACCGAAAGAAUAAGCACCGGCUAACUUCGUG
rnacentral:rRNA from 1 species